UAGGGGGUUAUAAAGAGUAAAUUGGGGGCUAUGAAUAGACUCACCCGAAAUACAAAUAGCCCAAUCACUUAUAAGAGCCUAGUUAAAUGCAGCUCAAUCUGAAUUUAAUAGAGAAUCUCGGCCCAACAUGAAAAUAAUUCAAGGCCCAAAGGUUCAGCCCAUUUCCCCUCUCUACAAUUCACGGUUCCAAAUCCUUCUCCUUUCAAUUUCUCAAUAUCAGCUCAACUCCCUCCCUUUGCAUCAGAAAUCGCCGCCGCCGCCGUUGAAGGAUCGGCGAGCGGUCGGUUCUAGCCUUCGUCUCCAGCGAAGCAGGCCUGUUGCCGCCUCUGAGGCCGACGCCGUCCCCUUCGUCUCCAGUCUCUCUUACUGAAACUCACCAUGAAAUCCAGCCCUAGCUUCCCUCUGAACUCAGAUGGGAUGCCGCCGCUGCGGCCCUUCUCCGGCGAGACUGGCGUCCCGGCUGUUAGCGCCGCCAGCACACCUUCACCCCUAAAUCAAAAUUGAGCCCUAACUCUCCUUUUGGUUUAGGCGGGUUCGCCACCGCUGUUGCUAAAGGACCGGCUAGGCGGCGGUUCUCUCCUUCUCUCCCUUGUUCUCGAAAAUAGAUUCACGCUCAAGUCCUAGCCUUUUCUCAUCUCUCGGAAUUUAUCGCCGCCCCUGAGCUUUUGACGAGGCUAUAGACGUCAUCCCCUCCUCAGUUCUUUCCGCUUUCGAACUCAAGGGAUGGGUCUUCUGGGUUCCGGCAGAGAAGGGUAGGCCGUCGCAGCUGUCCUGACUCUUCACCUCGCCGUUGCUGCUUUACUCAUAUUCCGGCGAGGCAGCAAGGGCUCGUCGUCGUUCCCUCGGUUCGACUGAACAGGAAGAAACUGGAGAGGAUCAGGUCAAUCUUACCUCUCGAAUCUUUCAGCGUAAAGAGAGAAGGAUUUGGUGGGUGAUAUUAUAAGGAGUGAAGUUGGUGGCUGUUACUCUCAUGGGUUUGAAAGAUGGGGUAUGGUGGAAUGACCACCUACUUGUACUAUGGUAUGGUCUUGGUUACAGGGGAAGGAAAGAAAAAAAAGAGCUGCUACUUGCUUUUGUACUAUGCAGAUUUUUCUUUUGAUUUUGUGUACAUACAUCAGUAUGGCUUAGCUGCAAAAGUGGCGCUGUAGAGGGAGGAAAGCAUGGCUUUUGGUGGCUACAAAAUCUUCUAUCUUGAUUGUUGUGAGAGUAGGGAUGGUGGUGAUUGUGCGUGUAUAGUGUGAUGUCGUAAUCGUAAAUAAUAAUAAAUCUUUGUGUCUUGGUUACUCA